rnacentral:rRNA from 1 species
GACGGAGGAUGCAAGCGUUAUCCGGAAUUAUUGGGCGUAAAGCGUCCGCAGGUGGAUUUACAAGUCUGCUGUUAAAGUGCAGAGCUUAACUCUGUAAAGGCGGUGGAAACUGUAGGUCUUGAGUAUGGUAGGGGUAGAGGGAAUUCCCGGUGUAGCGGUGAAAUGCGUAGAUAUCGGGAAGAACACCAGUGGCGAAAGCGCUCUACUGGGCCAUAACUGACACUGAGGGACGAAAGCUAGGGGAGCGAAAGGG